rnacentral:rRNA from 1 species
GAUGAACGCUGGCGGCGUGCCUAAUACAUGCAAGUCGAACGAAGGUAGCAAUACCUUAGUGGCGAACGGGUGAGUAACACGUAGGUAACCUGCCUUUCAGUUGGGGGAUAACCGAGGGAAACUUUGGCUAAUACCGAAUUCGUGCUUCGAAGGCAUCUUCGGAGCAUAAAAGGGGCCUUUAAAGCCUCGCUGAUUGAUGGACCUGCGGCGCAUUAGUUAGUUGGUGAGAUAACAGCCCACCAAGACGAGGAUGCGUAGCCGACCUGAGAGGGUGAUCGGCCACACUGGAACUGAGACACGGUCCAGACUCCUACGGGAGGCAGCAGUAGGGAGUUUUCGGCAAUGGGGGAAACCCUGACCGAGCAACGCCGCGUGAGUGAUGAAGGUCUUCGGAUUGUAAAGCUCUGUUAUAAGGGAAGAACGGCAGCUAGAGGAAAUGCUAGCUGUUUGACGGUACUUUAUGAGAAAGCCACGGCUAACUACGUG